rnacentral:rRNA from 1 species
UACGUAGGUGACAAGCGUUGUCCGGAUUUACUGGGCGUAAAGAGCGCGCAGGCGGUCGAUCAAGUCGAGUGUGAAAGCCCCCGGCUCAACUGGGGAGGGUCAUUCGAUACUGAUCGACUCGAAGGCAGGAGAGGGUAGUGGAAUUCCCGGUGUAGUGGUGAAAUUCGUAGAUAUUGGGAAGAACACCAGUGGCGAAGGCGGCUCACUGGCCCGUAACUGACGCUGAGGUGCGAAAGCGUGGGGAGCAAACAGG